rnacentral:rRNA from 1 species
AUUGAACGCUGGCGGUAUGCCUAACACAUGCAAGUCGAACGAGGUAGCAAUACCUAGUGGCGCACGGGUGAGUAACACGUAGGUAACCUCGCCCCCCAGUCUGGAACAACUAGAGGAAACUCUAGCUAAUGCCGGAUGAGACCACGAUCCCUUCGGGGGGUUGCGGCCAAAGAUGGCCUCUACUUGUAAGCUAUCGCUGAGGGAUGGGCCUGCGGGCCAUUAGCUUGUUGGUGAGGUAACGGCUCACCAAGGCUGUGAUGGCUAGCUGGUCUGAGAGGAUGACCAGCCACACUGGGACUGAGACACGGCCCAGACUCCUACGGGAGGCAGCAGUGGGGAAUAUUGCGCAAUGGGCGAAAGCCUGACGCAGCGACGCCGCGUGGGUGAUGAAGGCC